CGGCUAACUCCGUGCCAGCAGCCGCGGUAAUACGGAGGAUGCAAGCGUUAUCCGGAAUGAUUGGGCGUAAAGGGUCCGCAGGUGGCUAUGUAAGUCUGCUGUUAAAGAACCUAGCUUAACUAGGUAAAAGCAGKGGAAACUACAAGGCURGAGUGCGUUCGGGGUARAGGGAAUUCCUGGUGUAGCGGUGAAAUGCGUARAUAUCAGGAARAACACCAGUGGCGAAGGCGCUCUACUAGGCCGCAACUGACACUGAGGGACRAAAGCUAGGGGAGCGAAUGGRAUUAGAUACCCCAGUAGUCCUAGCCGUAAACRAUGGAUACUAGGCGUGGCUUGUAUCGACCCAAGCCGKGCCGGAGCUAACGCGUUAAGUAUCCCGCCUGGGGAGUACGCACGCAAGUGUGAAACUCAAAGGAAUUGACGGGGGCCCGCACAAGCGGUGGAGUAUGUGGUUUAAUUCGAUGCAACGCRAAGAACCUUACCAAGACUUGACWUGUCGCGAAUCUCUCUGAAAGGAGAGAGUGCCUUCGGGAGCGCGAACACAGGUGGUGCAUGGCUGUCGUC
rnacentral:rRNA from 1 species